CCAAUUGGUAGAACAGCGGUCUCCAAAACCGAUGGUUGGGGGUUCGAAUCCCUCCACCC
rnacentral:tRNA from 1 species